rnacentral:rRNA from 1 species
UACGAAGGGGGCUAGCGUUGCUCGGAAUUACUGGGCGUAAAGGGCGCGUAGGCGGAUAGUUCAGUCAGAGGUGAAAGCCCAGGGCUCAACCUUGGAAUUGCCUUUGAUACUGGCUGUCUUGAGUAUGGGAGAGGUUAGCGGAACUCCGAGUGUAGAGGUGAAAUUCGUAGAUAUUCGGAAGAACACCAGUGGCGAAGGCGGCUAACUGGCCCAUUACUGACGCUGAGGCUCGAAAGCGUGGGGAGCAAACGGG